rnacentral:miRNA from 1 species
UAUGUGUGUGUGUGUGUGUCUAUAUAUAGAGAGAGAUACUCUCUCUAUAUCUCUCUCUAUAUAUAGACACACACACACACACACACAUA